rnacentral:rRNA from 1 species
UUGAUCCUGCCGGAGGUUACUGCUAUCGAGGUUCGACUAAGCCAUGCGAGUCGAAUGUAGCAAUACAUGGCGUACUGCUCAGUAACACGUGGACAACCUACCCUUAGGUCGGGGAUAAACCCGGGAAACUGGGUAUAAUACCCGAUAGAUCUCGGCUGCUGGAAUGCACCGAGCUCUAAAGCUCCGGCGCCUAAGGAUGGGUCUGCGGCCUAUCAGGUAGUAGUGGGUGUAGCGUACCUACUAGCCUACGACGGGUACGGGUUGUAAGAGCAAGAGCCCGGAGAUGGAUUCUGAGACACGAAUCCAGGCCCUACGGGGUGCAGCAGGCGCGAAAACUUUACAAUGCUGGAAACAGCGAUAAGGGGACCUCGAGUGCCAGGUUACAAAUCUGGCUGUCGUGAUGCCUAAAAAGCAUUGCAUAGCAAGGGCCGGGCAAGACCGGUGCCAGCCGCCGCGGUAACACCGGCGGCUCGAGUGGUAACCGUUAUUAUUGGGUCUAAAGGGUCUGUAGCCGGCCGGAUAAGUCUCUUGGGAAAUCCAGCAGCUUAACUGUUGGGCUUUCAGGAGAUACUGUCUGGCUCGAGGCCGGGAGAGGUGAGAGGUACUUCAGGGGUAGGGGUGAAAUCUUGUAAUCCUUGAAGGACCACCAGUGGCGAAGGCGUCUCACCAGAACGGACCUGACGGCAAGGGACGAAAGCUAGGGGCACGAACCGGAUUAGAUACC